rnacentral:rRNA from 1 species
UACGUAGGGUGCAAGCGUUGUCCGGAAUUAUUGGGCGUAAAGAGCUCGUAGGCGGUCUGUCGCGUCGGCUGUGAAAUCCCGAGGCUCAACCUCGGGUCUGCAGUCGAUACGGGCAGACUAGAGUGAUGUAGGGGAGACUGGAAUUCCUGGUGUAGCGGUGAAAUGCGCAGAUAUCAGGAGGAACACCGAUGGCGAAGGCAGGUCUCUGGGCCACUACUGACGCUGAGAAGCGAAAGCAUGGGGAGCGAACAGG